rnacentral:rRNA from 1 species
UACGUAGGGUGCGAGCGUUGUCCGGAAUUAUUGGGCGUAAAGAGCUCGUAGGCGGUCUGUCGCGUCGAUCGUGAAAACUUGGGGCUUAACCCUGAGCUUGCGGUCGAUACGGGCAUGACUGGAGUUCGGCAGGGGAGACUGGAAUUCCUGGUGUAGCGGUGAAAUGCGCAGAUAUCAGGAGGAACACCGGUGGCGAAGGCGGGUCUCUGGGCCAUUACUGACACUGAGAAGCGAAAGCAUGGGGAGCGAACAGG